UACAGAGGGGGCCAGCGUUAUUCGGAAUUACUGGGCGUAAAGCGCGCGCAGGCGGUUUUUCAAGUCAGUGGUGAAAGCCCGGAGCUCAACUCCGGAACUGCCAUUGAAACUGUGAAACUUGAGGAUGAGAGAGGUGAGUGGAAUUCCCAGUGUAGAGGUGAAAUUCGUAGAUAUUGGGAAGAACACCGGUGGCGAAGGCGGCUCACUGGCUCAUUUCUGACGCUCAGGCGCGACAGCGUGGGGAUCAAACAGG
rnacentral:rRNA from 1 species